CAGUCGCCGCGGUAAUACGAAGGGUGCAAGCGUUAAUCGGAAUUACUGGGCGUAAAGCGUGCGUAGGCGGUGAGUUAAGUCUGCUGUGAAAUCCCCGGGCUCAACCUGGGAAUGGCAGUGGAUACUGGCUCGCUAGAGUGUGUCAGAGGAUGGUGGAAUUCCCGGUGUAGCGGUGAAAUGCGUAGAGAUCGGGAGGAACAUCAGUGGCGAAGGCGGCCAUCUGGGACAACACUGACGCUGAGGCACGAAAGCGUGGGGAGCAAACAGGAUUAGAUACCCUGGUAGUCCCUGUCUUUUAUAC
rnacentral:rRNA from 1 species